GAAGAAUGAGAUAUGCUCUCAAGAGAGUAAGGAUCAAAUGUGCUGUUCAGUGCAGAACACAUGUGAAAGAUUUGGAAGGACAUUGAGUGGCAAGCAAAAUCAUCUGACUAUUGUCUCCUAGAACUAGAAACUACAAGACCCCUUCAUUUUUCCAUAUAUGAGAAACUACUGGAUACUAUGUAAAAUUAGAUAUUUUACUAACAGGCAAAAAUAAUCAUCUCAUUUCAGAAGGAAUUUUAAGUGGUUUAUACAUUCCAAAAGCAAUCACUUUUAAGUAUUUAUAACAUUUGCAAGAAAGCUUAAUGUUUCAUUUUGCCCAACAGCUAGAUGCUCCAUUUUUUAAAAAAAGCUAAACAAAUUCAAGCUGAUUUAACCAACACACACUACAGGGGAGCAGAGAGACCUUCACAAGCACGAAUUAAAAAGCUUGGUAUAAAAGAAAAACUCAAUGAAUUUAUCAUGAGGAAAACUAUUAAACACAGAUCUGCCAAAGUCAACUUUUCAUCUACUAUAAAAGUUUGUGUUUUUUCCUGUUGAUGGUAAAUAUGAAUUGACUUAUAAUAUUUUUACUUACCAGAACAAUACUGAUUUUCAUUAUUGAAAUAUUCAAAUGGUGACUGGGUUGUCAAAUUCAUCAAAGAAAUUAUAUAUUGACUGUGACACAGCUUUAUUGAGACUGCUGAAAGUCCCCAGGGAAUAGAAGAUAAAAUCCCCUGCAGCUUGAACUACCGGAUUAGAAGGAAAUUUCUAAAUGAAACUUGCUAAUGAAGACAACACACUGCUGAGGAAAUAAUGGGAAAUUCAGUGUCGGCGGCUGAUACAACUAACUUGAAAUAAAGCAUUUUUGGAGUAGAGAAUAGUGAAAAGGUGGCAAAUCCCCAAAUCUGUAAGGGAAAUAGUUAAAUACAAGUUGCAUCCAGGGGCCAUUUAGCAUCCGGUGUUUUGGAUAUAGUUAAUAAAAAGGUAUAAGGAACAAUACCAGCCUUGGCACUAUAAAAAGCAAUCAAAC
rnacentral:lncRNA from 1 species